rnacentral:rRNA from 1 species
AGAAUCAUUCACAAUGGGCGAAAGCCUGAUGGUGCGACGCCGCGUGGAGGAUGACAGCCCUAGGGUUGUAAACUCCUGUCAUGAGAGAGUAAAGACUUAACGUUAAUAACGUUGGGUCCUGAUAGUAUCUCAAGAGGAAGGGACGGCUAACUUCGUGCCAGCAGCCGCGGUAAUACGAAGGUCCCAAGCGUUGUUCGGAAUUACUGGGCGUAAAGCGUGCGUAGGCGGAAUGGUAAGUCAGAUGUGAAAUCCCGGGGCUCAACCUCGGAACUGCAUCCGAUACUGCCAAUCUAGAGUAGUGGAGGGGAGUCUGGAAUUCACGGUGUAGCAGUGAAAUGCGUAGAUAUCGUGAGGAACACUAGUGGCGAAGGCGAGACUCUGGACACUAACUGACGCUGAGGCACGAAGGCUAGGGUAGCGAAAGGGAUUAGAUACCCCUGUAGUCCUAGCAGUAAACGGUGUGCGUUUGGUGUGGGCGGGUUCGACCCCGUCCGUGCCGAAGCUAACGCGUUAAACGCACCGCCUGGGGAGUACGGCCGCAAGGCUAAAACUCAAAGAAAUUGACGGGGACCCGCACAAGCGGUGGAGUAUGUGGCUUAAUUCGAUGCAACGCGAAGAACCUUACCUAGGCUUGACAUGCUUGUCGUAGUUCUGUGAAAGCAGAUCGUCAGUUCGGCUGGACUUGCACAGGUGCUGCAUGGCUGUCGUCAGCUCGUGUCGUGAGAUGUUGGGUUAAGUCCCGCAACGAGCGCAACCCCUAUGAUUAGUUGCCAGCAAGUAAUGUUGGGGACUCUAGUCAGACUGCCUGUAUUAAACAGGAGGAAGGUGGGGACGACGUCAAGUCAGUAUGGCCCUUACGCCUAGGGCUGCACACGUACUACAAUGCUCAGUACAAUGUGAACCGAUACCGCAAGGUGGAGGAAAUCCUGAAAACUGAGCUCAGUUCGGAUUGUGGGCUGCAACUCGCCCACAUGAAGCUGGAAUCGCUAGUAAUGGCACAUCAGCUACGGUGCCGUGAAUACGUUCCCGGGUCUUGUACACACCGCCCGUCACAUCAUGGAAGCCGCUCGCACCCGAAGUACCUUCACUAAGAAGGUCCUAAGGUGUAGGUGGUAACUGGGAUGAAGUCGUAACAAGGUAGCCGUAGGGGAACCUGCGGCUG